rnacentral:lncRNA from 1 species
CGUACGAACGCUAUUAUUACUCUUUUGCUCGGGACCUCGGAACGGUCAGCAACUCCUCCCGUCCGUACCCGUUGGAUUUUUACGCAGUUCGUUAUUCUUCAUAUCAAUUAUUUCCGUAUCGAUAACGUGUACAGGACGGCUGCCCUGCGGUAAUUUCGAAGUUCGGUCGCCGGCUCACCGGCCCUAAGUAAGUACUAUGCGUGUGUCUCGGGUAACCUGCGCGUCCCGGUCGACGUGCACGUGGCGUAUUUUUUUCCGUCACAAUUGUGCGUUAGUGCGAUCGGCCUCGACGUUUAUGUUUACGGUGUAUUUCUGUCGCCCGACAUUUUGUCUGUGCAGUUAUUGCGCGUAAUUGUCCGUGGCUCGUCAACGAACGAGGUCCGGCCCCUCCCCCGGUCGGUGACCCUAGAGCGGUCCUGCGAAACCGGCGUGAGGUUGUACUGUGACGUGCUUACACGAUAUUUUAUUCGUACGCGUCGUCAUUCGACACCGAUUCAUGACGGAUUAUAGUGUUGAUAUCUGAUCGAAUACCCGGACAAAAGUAUUUCGGUCGGCGCAAGUUUUUUUUUUUUCUGUAAUUGUGCGACCGGCUUGAGUGAUAAUAUUUCCGUAUCUAUCGAAACGGUCAUCACAGGAUAUUUUGCCGGCAUUAGUUUUCGGCGCGUAUUCGACCGUGUCCCGUUAACGUGCGGGCCCGGCUCCUGCCUUGGUCAGUAUAAUCCUCAAAGUGGUACUGAAACCGACGUGUACCUACCCAAUAAUAUUUGUAUUAAAAAGAAAUUAUGUUGUAGGUACGACCACAGGACCACGAUUCCAUAACGUUGUAUCUAAUAUUAGUAUUUACAAAUCGUACGAUGCAUUCAUGGUUACUUUAGGUGGUGGUUGAAUAUCUGCAGGCGAUUGUCACCAUGAUGUUUUUAUGAGGUAUUUUGUUUGAAUAUUGAAAUGACGAAUCGUCUUUUCGGAAAAUCGUCAUACACCCACUUAAUAAUCAAUGAUUUAUGUAUCGAAAAUGGCAUGUACGGACGUGGUCUCUGCGGUUAUAUCUUCUUGGUCGCUGGCACACCGAACUAAUUAAAUAAAAUCCGCGUGUGUCUCGAUGGUGCGACUUACUCGGUCCGGCCGGCGCGCAUGUGGUUUCCUUUUUUUCCGUCACAAUUGUGUAUCUAUUUGUGCAUCUGCGUGACUUCUCCCCCGGUCAGGUAACUCUUGUCUCUGUAAAUGUAUAGUAUAAUGAUAUCUUAUGCUGACAAUACUGUUCUAUUGAUGAAGGAAAAUAAUUAUAAUGACUUAUAUAAAUCUGCUACAUUCUUAAUGACAUGCUAGAUCUUAAUGUAGACAAUUCUAAAUAUCUUUAUUUUCGAUUGUCAUAUUCUUCCAAAAAAUUGUGUUUAGCUAUUCCAUAUUCAAACCACUUGCUGUUUAAAGUUAAAAUACUGCACGGGUAUAAAUCAAUAAUGAUUUUUUUUUUUUUUUUUUAAAUUUUAAUUCUGAAUUUAUACAAUCUAUACUAAAAAAAAAGUACAAUAAGCUUAAUGUAUGUUUUUAUUAAUUUAGUGCAAUAGCUUGAAUGUCUUGAGGGAAGAAGCCGUCCAGUGAAGGUACUUCGACGUGAAUUUAACAAUGAAAUUUAUUUAUAAAUAAAUACAUUAAGAGUAGAGAAACUUAAAGUUAAGUUUUGUAAAAAUUGGUCUUUUAAUCUACUUGUGAACUAAAAAAAUACUGUAAGAUAACAAACAUUUUUAAUUACUUGGUAAUGUUAUGUAAAAUUGAUUAUGUAUAUAAUGCAGUGCCAUCAAAAGAUUUUUGUCUCCAUUCUUUAUUUCUUUAUUAUCGAUCUGGAUACAAAAUAAAUUGUAUAAGAAAAUAGUUUAUUACUGAAAACAUUACUUUUUUUUCUGAAUUUGAACAACAGCCACUAUCAUUUUCAAAAACUGUAUAAGAUAUAUUUAUUUAUUUAUGUACAAUAAACGGGUAAAGACCCUAUUGUGUAGGCAGUACAGGUUUAAACAUUUAAGUAUUUUAUAGUUAACAAUAAACAUCUCUAUUUAAAACAAUAAUAAUAAUGAAGCUAAGUUGUUAUGUAUAUUAAUAUAUUUUCAAUAUCAUACAGGUGAUCAACAUAACAUAAGAAACUCAUUAUGUCUAAGAGUUUUAACUUGUUUUGGCACCCCGAACCGCUACAUAAUUGAUAAUCCACUACUUUCCUCCAACCCAUUGGUUGAUAUUUGGUAUCAUCUGUGGGGAGGCUUGAUAUUUUUGUCAUUAGCGGAAACAAAUAUUUUUAGUCGCUUUCGACGCUUCCACCUUCUAACUGUAGUGGCUACUCCUACUUGAUUCUAGCUAUUUAGGUAAUAG